GACGAACGCUGGCGGCGUGCUUAACACAUGCAAGUCGAACGGAAACGCCCUGCUGUUGUGGGGUGCUCGAGUGGCGAACGGGCGAGUAACACGUGAGUAACCUACCCUUGGCUUUGGGGUAACAUCAGGUAACAGGGGUUAAUACUGGAUAGGAGCUCCUGCUGCAUGGUGGGGGUGGGAAAGGUUCGGCGGGUGGGGCUGGAUGCGGGGCUGGUAUGCUUUAUGGGGGGGUAGUGCGUUACCACGGCAUGGCCGGGUAGCCCGCCUGGGAGGGUGAACGGCGACAUUAGGACUGAGGUACGGCGCAGACGGCUACGGGGGGCAGCGGUCGGGAGUAUUACACAAUGGGCGGAAGCGUGAGGCAGCAGCGCCGCGUGUGGGAAGACGGCCUUCGGGUGGUAAACCGAUUUCGCCUGUGACGAAGCGUGAGUGACGGUAAUGGGUGAAGAAGCACCGGCUAACUACGUG
rnacentral:rRNA from 1 species